AACUACUCCCAAGUGUUUUGAAAACACUAAUUAGAUCUAUUCUAGUAGUUU
rnacentral:tRNA from 1 species